AUGCACAAAUGGUGUUGCUUGGAUUACAAGUUACAAGUCAAAGUUUUACCACAAGAGGAAAUCAUUACAAAAAGGUGUUUAAAAUGGAAAUUACAAGGAAAGUUCAACAAUUGACUUUUUGGUCAACUAUUGACUAUUGACCCAAAUUUGACUCUUGAAUUUAAAUUUCUAAAACCUAUCCUACUUCAAUCUUCAAUCUUCCAUCUUCUCAAGUUGCUUUAUGCCCAAUUAAAUUCAUGACCAUGCUAACCAUGUCAAUCCCACGCCCAAGCAAACCUGCAUAUCAGAUCAACUCCAAUGUCAAUGCAAUACAAACCAAUUCAAUCAUUAACCAAUUCAAAUACCUCUACAUUUCACAAUUUGUCCUAAUACUAACACUUCAAACAGUUUUUUUUACCAGCCAUCAACAAAGUGAACUAGGCAUACUCAUGGUAUUUUUUCCAAUCCAAACCAUAAGUAUUAACAUGAUCAAAACAAUACAAGCAUGCUAUGACAGUCCAUCAACUCUUGCCAUAUUAGUCCAAACUACAAACAAAAUUCCAAAGACAAUGCACAACCAUGCUAAGAUUAGUUCAAAAAAAGUCUCACACAUUGCUUUAAUAUAAGUCAAUCAUCAAACAAUUAUCUAAACCACAAACUCAGUUCCAAGUCAGUUUCAUCAGUUCAUAACUUCUAACCAAUUUCAAAACACUAGUUCACCAUAACAGCCAGUUCAUAUCAAAUUAACAUAACUAGUUAAUUCAUCACUAAUUACAAGUAUGUUCAUUAACUGAAUUCAUUUCUUUUUCUAGGAAAGGUAGGGAUAUCUCUUGGUCGGAUUGGUGUUGUAAUCCCGACAAGUGUUGGAUGUAGGCGGUGAUUCCCUUUUACUUAGUUGGGUGUUGUAGGUCGAUAUGUAUCAUGUUGUUCUUUUUUCCUUUGGUUUCAUUGUUUGUAAAAGAGUGAACACCUAUUGUGCCUCUUUUUUAAUGCAAUGUUUUCCUUGCUUAUAAAAAAAAUUAACUGAAUUCAUUCAAUCCAAACACAAACAAUAAAUAAUUAUUUCUAAAUUCCCAUAUCAGUUCAAAUUCAACGUAACAAUCAUUCAACUAACUAACUCAAAUUGUUCUAACACCUUCAAAUGUAAUAACAAUACACUAACAAUAUUUCUGCAGCAACUAUUACAAUACUUAAAAAAAGUUCAAAUAACAACUAACUAUUUCUCUUUUGAUAGCAACUAUAACUAACAUCUAAAUUAACUAACUUGAAAUCUAACUGUUUUACGAGUUCUAACUUUUUUUAACUAACAAUCCAAUUCACUAAAUUCAUAACUAACUAAUAGGUUUUUAACUCUAUUAAGUAACUAUCUUCAUUCAGAUGUUAACUACGUAAAACCUAUACUGACAGUUUAACAAAGAAGGAACUAAUUCAACUAAUUGAACUUCACUCACCAAAAUUCAAAACACCUAACAACAACUUAACAGUUUCUUAAUAGUGUGAAUCAUCCUAACCAACUCUCCAUUCAAUCUAACUGGAAUUUAAUAAUGGCCUAACCUUGCCCUAACAGUUAACAAACUGCCCAAUUCAGUUACACACUUCCAUCUCUAUAAAUUCAACUCUCCUCUUCAAUCAUAGUUUAGUCAUGGUCACAAUCACAAUUCACCAAAAAUUCUCUGAAAAUUCUCAACUCUCCGUGGUUUUGGCUCAAAUUGAUUCUCUCUUAAUUUCUCAAACUCGCCAAAUCCUUCUCAACUCUAUCAAUCUCAUGCACAUAAAACGACAUAGCAACAUCAACAAGUAAGCAUAGAAUAUUCGUUUCCUACAGACUAGACUUUUGAAGGAAAAAAAGGAGACAACUUUGAAUUCAAGUUACUUCCCUCUAAGGAGCAAUUCUAUGGUUCUCCAUUACAACAAUAACCGAGACGAAUCUCAGUAUCACAACUAAGUCACCAUUAUUCUUCCUCCUUGCUUGAAAUUCUAGUGCCUCUAUGUAGAGAUAUGAUAAUAGAUUCAAAACCCUAGGGUUUGAAAUCCGUUCCGCUCCUUGGAGACAUUUAAUUUUGGUUUGUAGUUUUAGGGUUUGUUCAUUAUUUGAUUCGAUUCGAAGAGCUGGUUAAGAAUUUAGGGAAAAAACUAUGACAAUGGGAUAUAGGGAUUGAAGAUGGCUAGAAUGGGGUAGGUUUUAUGGUGAUUGAACCUUCGCUGCCGCCAGAGGCGAUUUCUGGUGCGACGGAGAUGAUACCUCAGGCGAAGCUAAGACACGAUGUAAACCAGGAAAAUGGAAUGGAGUUGUUCUGAACUACUUACCCUCUCUUGGCUGAUGCAUUUUGGGGUCAGAAAACCUUGAGCCUAUAGAAUUUCUACUACACCCCCACCCUGGCCAAGCUACCCCCUAUCCUGAAGCCAUUCUAACAUGUUGGGCUUCCUAUUAAGCCCAGUCUGGGCUUUGAUUUCCAUACACAUUACUGGUUGCUAGUACACCAUUGUCUCCAUGAAGUUUUCUUAUUUUUGUUUUUUAUUUAUUUUUAUUUUUGUUUUUUUGUUUUAUUUUGUCAUGGCAUUUUAAAUAUUUCUAUUUUUUUGUUUUUAUAUUUGUUAAUACUUUGACAUUACAAAUACUUUGAAAAAUUAAAUGCAUGAUAAUACACUUAGCUUCAUUUUAUUAGAAUUUAUUUUCAAUUAGAUGUUAGAAAAUAACAAACAUGUUCAUAUUAGAUUAGAUUUAAUUUUGGAAAUUAAUAUGCGCUUUGAUUCCUUUAUGAUUCUAAAUUCAUAAAAUCCAUGUGCUUGGUUCAUAUCUUGAUCACAUCCCUGAUGGAUUGAUUGAUCAAAGUCAUUUUUGAUCAAUUAAUCACUUGACAUUUAUUUCCUUCCCCUGUCCAGUCAAGUGAUCGUAAGCCUCUUGAUCACUUGAUAUGACUAGUCCUCUGCAUUCACACUAUAGUGGAUCUCACAAGCUUAAGACAUCAUCAUGCAAAACCUCAAAGGCUGAAGACUCAUCAUCAUCAACCACAACAAAAAGAUUAUCCUUUCAACACUUGUCAAUUAUGAUGCAAACUGUACGUCACGAGCCUUAAGUAGUGGAGAAUGAAUGAGAGGGAGUAUUCCUAUCC
rnacentral:lncRNA from 1 species